GACGAACGCUGGCGGCGUGCCUAAUACAUGCAAGUUGAGCGCUGAAGGUUGGUACUUGUACCAACUGGAUGAGCAGCGAACGGGUGAGUAACGCGUGGGGAAUCUGCCUUUGAGCGGGGGACAACAUUUGGAAACGAAUGCUAAUACCGCAUAAAAACUUUAAACACAAGUUUUAAGUUUGAAAGAUGCAAUUGCAUCACUCAAAGAUGAUCCCGCGUUGUAUUAGCUAGUUGGUGAGGUAAAGGCUCACCAAGGCUAUGAUACAUAGCCGACCUGAAAGGGGGAUCGGCCAAAUUGGGACUGAGACACGGCUCAAACUCCUACGGGAGGCAGCAGUAGGGAAUCUUCGGACAUGGACGAAAGUCUGACCGAGCAACGCCGCGUGAGUGAAGAAGGUGUUCGGAUCGUAAAACUCGGUUGGUAGAGAAGAACGUUGGUGAGAGUGGAAAGCUCAUCAAGUGACGGUAACUACCCAGAAAGGGACGGCUAACUACGUG
rnacentral:rRNA from 1 species